rnacentral:rRNA from 1 species
GGGAGCUUGCUCCCAGACCGUCAGCGGCGGACGGGUGAGUAACACGUGGGCAACCUGCCUGUAAGACUGGGAUAACUCCGGGAAACCGGGAGCUAAUACCGGAUAACUCUUUNCCUCACAUGAGGAAAAGCUGAAAGAUGGCAUCUCGCUAUCACUUACAGAUGGGCCCGCGGCGCANUAUAUAGUUGGUGAGGUAACGGCUCACCAAGGCGACGAUGCGUAGCCGACCUGAGAGGGUGAUCGGCCACACUGGGACUGAGACACGGCCCAGACUCCUACGGGAGGCAGCAGUAGGGAAUCUUCCGCAAUGGACGAAAGUCUGACGGAGCAACGCCGCGUGAGUGAUGAAGGUUUUCGNAUCGUAAAACUCUGUUGUCAGGGAAGAACAAGUACCGGAGUAACUGCCGGUACCUUGACGGUACCUGACCAGAAAGCCACGGCUAACUACGUGCCAGCAGCCGCGGUAAUACGUAGGUGGCAAGCGUUGUCCGGAAUUAUUGGGCGUAAAGCGCGCGCAGGCGGUUCCUUAAGUCUGAUGUGAAAGCCCCCGGCUCAACCGGGGAGGGUCAUUGGAAACUGGGGAACUUGAGUGCAGAAGAGAAGAGUGGAAUUCCACGUGUAGCGGUGAAAUGCGUAGAGAUGUGGAGGAACACCAGUGGCGAAGGCGACUCUUUGGUCUGUAACUGACGCUGAGGCGCGAAAGCGUGGGGAGCAACAGGAUUAGAUACCCUGGUAGUCCACGCCGUAAACGAUGAGUGCUAAGUGUUAGAGGGUUUCCCCCCUUUAGUGCUGCAGCAANCGCAUUAAGCACUCCNCCUGGGGAGUACGGCCGCANGGCUGAAACUCAAAGGAAUUGACGGGGGCCCNCACAAGCGGUGGAGCANGUGGUUUAAUUCGAAGCACCGCGAANAACCUUACNAGGUCUUGACAUCUCNUGACACCCUAGAGAUA